GACUCGUCACACUAUCAUUAACUGAAUCCAUAGGUUAAUGAGGCGAACCGGGGGAACUGAAACAUCUAAGUACCCCGAGGAAAAGAAAUCAACCGAGAUUCCCCCAGUAGCGGCGAGCGAACGGGGAGGAGCCCAGAGCCUGAAUCAGCAUGUGUGUUAGUGGAAGCGUCUGGAAAGGCGCGCGAUACAGGGUGACAGCCCCGUACACAAAAGCGCAUGUGCUGUGAGCUCGAUGAGUAGGGCGGGACACGUGGUAUCCUGUCUGAAUAUGGGGGGACCAUCCUCCAAGGCUAAAUACUCCUGACUGACCGAUAGUGAACCAGUACCGUGAGGGAAAGGCGAAAAGAACCCCGGCGAGGGGAGUGAAAAAGAACCUGAAACCGUGUACGUACAAGCAGUGGGAGCACAGGUUUACCUGUGUGACUGCGUACCUUUUGUAUAAUGGGUCAGCGACUUAUAUUCUGUAGCAAGGUUAACCGAAUAGGGGAGCCGGAGGGAAACCGAGUCUUAAUUGGGCGUUAAGUUGCAGGGUAUAGACCCGAAACCCGGUGAUCUAGCCAUGGGCAGGUUGAAGGUUGGGUAACACUAACUGGAGGACCGAACCGACUAAUGUUGAAAAAUUAGCGGAUGACCUGUGGCUGGGGGUGAAAGGCCAAUCAAACCGGGAGAUAGCUGGUUCUCCCCGAAAGCUAUUUAGGUAGCGCCUCGUGAAUUCAUCUCCGGGGGUAGAGCACUGUUUCGGCUAGGGGGCCAUCCCGGCUUACCAACCCGAUGCAAACUGCGAAUACCGGAGAAUGUUAUCACGGGAGACACACGGCGGGUGCUAACGUCCGUCGUGAAGAGGGAAACAACCCAGACCGCCAGCUAAGGUCCCAAAGUCAUGGUUAAGUGGGAAACGAUGUGGGAAGGCCCAGACAGCCAGGAUGUUGGCUUAGAAGCAGCCAUCAUUUAAAGAAAGCGUAAUAGCUCACUGGUCGAGUCGGCCUGCGCGGAAGAUGUAACGGGGCUAAACCAUGCACCGAAGCUGCGGCAGCGACGCUGAUGCGUUGUUGGGUAGGGGAGCGUUCUGUAAGCCUGCGAAGGUGGCCUGUGAGGGUUGCUGGAGGUAUCAGAAGUGCGAAUGCUGACAUAAGUAACGAUAAAGCGGGUGAAAAGCCCGCUCGCCGGAAGACCAAGGGUUCCUGUCCAACGUUAAUCGGGGCAGGGUGAGUCGACCCCUAAGGCGAGGCCGAAAGGCGUAGUCGAUGGGAAACGGGUUAAUAUUCCCGUACUUGGUGUUACUGCGAAGGGGGGACGGAGAAGGCUAUGUUGGCCGGGCGACGGUUGUCCCGGUUUAAGCGUGUAGGUGUGUGUUCCAGGUAAAUCCGGUU
rnacentral:rRNA from 2 species